UACGAACGGUCCAAACGUUAUUCGGAAUCACUGGGCUUAAAGCGUCCGUAGGCGGCUCGGAAAGUAGGGUGUGAAAUCCCACGGCUCAACCGUGGAAUUGCGCUCUAAACUAUCGAGCUAGAGGGAGAUAGAGGUGAGCGGAACUGAUGGUGGAGCGGUGAAAUGCGUUGAUAUCAUCAGGAACACCAGUGGCGAAGGCGGCUCACUGGACUGGUAUUGACGCUGAGGUGCGAAAGCGUGGGGAGCAAACAGG
rnacentral:rRNA from 1 species